rnacentral:tRNA from 1 species
ACCAUAGGGGACUGAGUUGGUAGAGUGUUUGCCUCCCAUGCACAAAGCCCUGUGUUCAAUCCCCAGCUAUGGAA